AGAGUUUGAUCCUGGCUCAGGACGAACGCUGGCGGCGUGCUUAACACAUGCAAGUCGAACGAUGAAGCCAGCUUGCUGGUGGAUUAGUGGCGAACGGGUGAGUAACACGUGGGUGAUCUGCCCUGUACUUUGGGAUAAGCCUGGGAAACUGGGUCUAAUACCGAAUAUUACCUUCUCCUGCAUGGGGGGUUGGUGGAAAGCUCCGGCGGUAUGGGAUGGGCCCGCGGCCUAUCAGCUUGUUGGUGGGGUAAUGGCCUACCAAGGCGACGACGGGUAGCCGGCCUGAGAGGGCGACCGGCCACACUGGGACUGAGACACGGCCCAGACUCCUACGGGAGGCAGCAGUGGGGAAUAUUGCACAAUGGGCGCAAGCCUGAUGCAGCGACGCCGCGUGAGGGAUGACGGCCUUCGGGUUGUAAACCUCUUUCACCAGGGACGAAGCGUGAGUGACGGUACCUGGAGAAGAAGCACCGGCCAACUACGUGCCAGCAGCCGCGGUAAUACGUAGGGUGCGAGCGUUGUCCGGAAUUACUGGGGCGUAAAGAGCUCGUAGGCGGUUUGUCGCGUCGUUCGUGAAAACUUGGGGCUUAACUCCAAGCGUGCGGGCGAUACGGGCAGACUUGAGUACUACAGGGGAGACUGGAAUUCCUGGUGUAGCGGUGAAAUGCGCGAUAUCAGGAGGAACACCGGUGGCGAAGGCGGGUCUCUGGGUAGUAACUGACGCUGAGGAGCGAAAGCGUGGGUAGCGAACAGGAUUAGAUACCCUAGUAGUCC
rnacentral:rRNA from 1 species